GAUGCCGAUCAUGUUGACUGCUGCCUGAAGAGGGGGAAAGUAGUCUUCAACCUCUGCGGAGAACAUGCUUGUUAAAAUUAAAUGAGCCUUCUUACCGGCAGAUGGUUCAGUCACACUUCGACUCCACCGGCUUCAUGUGGAUGACAAAGUACAGCAGGUGGCGGGUGUGACUGGAAGCUGCACUGCAUGCAGAAUCAAAGAAAAAGCAGGUGGAUCGUGGCGCCGCCUCCAACCAACAGUUCCAGGACUGAGCUUGGAAUUACGCGACAUCACAACGUGUUACCUGGUUCUUCAGCACCACCUGGUGGAUGAGAGCGGGACAAACGCAAUGCUGAGUAAAUGUCUUGGGGUCACUCUCCCACCCGUUUCCCCCCUGGUGCAACACCCGAUUCAAAUGAUCAGAUCAUCAGCAAGGUCUUGCGGAAGCCAGACACCGAAUCUGAUCUUGUGUCUCAGUGUGCGAGAGAGCCAGAAAAGCCACAGGUGCGCCGAACUUAACCAGCUCUCAGGAGCUGGUUGAGUGGGCGGGCCUGUGGUUAAACCAAACUUUUCAAAUUUCUGGAUUUGACACCUGCGCUCAAUUACGAGUACUCGCACUUGCACCGCUUUAAAAGAUUUGGUUUCACUUGUGAAGAGAGCAGAGCUGGACGCUUCUUCGACAGCACGCUGGCCUGAAAGACACGGCAACGUUAGCGCUUGACUCUUAAAUAUUCAAACCGUACAAGCGUAUGGCUGAGCACCCCGAUAUUUGGAAGGCCCAAACGCCACAGGAUGGCAGCCAUUUUGUCGAGGUGAGCCUGCGUAGACAGAAAUGAGAAUCGACACUUUUGGGAUUUAGUCUGAUAUGUAUUCAAAUGAGUCAGUUUUACCUUGUAACAGUCAAUUUGGCCAUUCUGUAGAAGAUGCAAAGCCUGUGGACAGGAAAGAGACAUUAGUUUGGCUUGCUCCAAAUGGUUCACAAUUUGAAUUCCACAUUGAAACGCACAGCAAGUGUGCCAUUUUAGACGCGAUUUGUACCUGGGAACAGAAAUGACACAAUUAGUAUGCACAGAUGCAUAUUACUUCUGUUUAAUUGUGAAUUUAGAAAGGAGUUUUGUCUACUUACCCUCUCGGCGAACGUAGCUUUCCUAGGAAGUUGGGGGA